rnacentral:lncRNA from 1 species
CUAAUUGUAAAUUUUUAUUACAGUAGGAACAUUGCUUUAAUUUAACCAUGCGAAAACAAAUGGUUAUACCAAUUAAACAUACAAUGAAUCUAAACAACAUUCUAUUAUUGAAAUCAAGUUUCGUAUAAUCAUAAUAUUAAAUUACACAAAAAAAUAUUGAGGGUUACCACUUGUGUAAAUAAUUCCCAACAAAAGAAAGAAGAAACCACGAACAACCUUGAACUCUAUCCUUUCCCUCAUUUUCUAAAAUUCUUUUUCUAUUUCUCCUAUCUUUUUCCUCUUUUUUAUUCUAAUCUUCUCUAAAUUUUCUCACUUUUUGCUUCUCUCUGUUGCUUCUCAGUUUCUUUCUCCACUAUUUUUUUUCCUCUUGUCCGUAUACUUUUUUUGUUUUUCCAAUAUUCAGUGUUCUCAUGGGUUGCCUCCUGCAUGUGAUUCUGUGUGUGCGCAUGUGUUUUCUAUUUUUUUAUCCGCAUAAUAGCAAUUACUUUGAUUUAUG